rnacentral:rRNA from 1 species
UACGGAGGGAGCUAGCGUUGUUCGGAAUUACUGGGCGUAAAGCGCGCGUAGGCGGCUUUGUAAGUUAGAGGUGAAAGCCCGGGGCUCAACUCCGGAACUGCCUUUAAGACUGCAUCGCUUGAAUCCGGGAGAGGUGAGUGGAAUUCCGAGUGUAGAGGUGAGAUUCGUAGAUAUUCGGAAGAACACCAGUGGCGAAGGCGGCUCACUGGACCGGUAUUGACGCUGAGGUGCGAAAGCGUGGGGAGCAAACAGG